GAUGAACGCUAGCGGGAGGCUUAACACAUGCAAGUCGAGGGGCAUCACGAGGUAGCAAUACUUUGGUGGCGACCGGCGCACGGGUGAGUAACACGUAUGCAACCUACCCUGUACAGGGGGAUAACCCGGAGAAAUUCGGACUAAUAUUCCAUGCAAUUAUUGGAGGGCAUCCUUUGAUAAUUAAAGCUCAGGCGGUAUAGGAUGGGCAUGCGGAACAUUAGCUAGUUGGUAGGGUAACGGCCUACCAAGGCUACGAUGUUUAGGGGACCUGAGAGGGUUAUCCCCCACACUGGUACUGAGACACGGACCAGACUCCUACGGGAGGCAGCAGUGAGGAAUAUUGGUCAAUGGGCGCAAGCCUGAACCAGCCAUCCCGCGUGAAGGAGAAGGCCCUAUGGGUUGUAACUUCUUUUCCAGGGGGUGAAUAAUUCCGAUGUAUCGGGAGAUGACGGUACCCUGGGAAUAAGCAUCGGCUAACUCCGUG
rnacentral:rRNA from 1 species